GCCUGGGCAACAGAGUGAGACCCUGUAUUUUAAAAAGCAGGGAAAUAAAUCUCAUCUAGGUUCUACUCUUUCUGCCCUUCUCACUAUUGCACUUGACUAGUCUUAA
ensembl:misc_RNA Y_RNA Y RNA